UCUCCGUAGGUGAACCUGCGGAGGGAUCAUUACAGAGUUCUCGCCCUCGCGGGUAGAUCUCCCACCCACUGUUAUCGUUACUGUGUUGCUUUGGCGGGCCGCCGGGCCCCGCUCGGCCGCCGGCUCCGGCUGGCGCGCGCCCGCCAGAGGCCCAGCAAACUCUGAAUGUUAGUGUCGUCUGAGUACUAUAUAAUAGUUAAAACUUUCAACAACGGAUCCCUUGGUUCUG
rnacentral:misc_RNA from 1 species